UACGGAGGGUGCAAGCGUUAAUCGGAAUUACUGGGCGUAGAGGGUGCGUAGGUGGUUGGAUAAGUUAUCUGUGAAAGCCCCGGGCUCAACCUGGGAAGGUCAGAUAAGACUGUUCGACUCGAGUAUAGGAGAGGGUAGUGGAAUUUCCGGUGUAGCGGUGAAAUGCGUAGAGAUCGGAAGGAACACCAGUGGCGAAGGCGGCUACCUGGCCUGAUACUGACACUGAAGCACGAAAGCGUGGGGAGCAAACAGG
rnacentral:rRNA from 1 species